CUGGCUCAGGAUGAACGCUAGCGGCAGGCUUAACACAUGCAAGUCGAGGGGCAUCGGGAGUAGCAAUACUGCCGGCGACCGGCGCAAGGGUGCGUAACGCGUGAGUAACAUGCCCGUAUCAGGGGGAUAAUCCAUGGAAACGUGGUCUAAUACCCCAUAGUAAUUAUGUAAGGCAUCUUAUAUAAUUUAAAGCUUUGGUGGAUACGGAUUGGCUCGCGUGACAUUAGCUGGAUGGUAAGGUAACGGCUUACCAUGGCUACGAUGUCUAGGGGUUCUGAGAGGAAGGUCCCCCACACUGGAACUGAGACACGGUCCAGACUCCUACGGGAGGCAGCAGUGAGGAAUAUUGGACAAUGGAUGGAAAUCUGAUCCAGCCAUGCCGCGUGCAAGGAAGACGGCCCUAUGGGUUGUAAACUGCUUUUGUAUGGGAGCAAUAAGGGCUACGUGUAGUCCGAUGAGAGUACCAUACGAAUAAGCACCGGCUAACUCCGUGCCAGCCGCCGC
rnacentral:rRNA from 1 species